CCUACGGGAGGCAGCAGUGGGGAAUAUUGCACAAUGGGGGAAACCCUGAUGCAGCGACGCCGCGUGAGUGAAGAAGUAUUUCGGUAUGUAAAGCUCUAUCAGCAGGAACGAGACAAGACGGUACCUGACUAAGAAGCCCCGGCUAACUACGUGCCAGCAGCCGCGGUAAUACGUAGGGGGCAAGCGUUAUCCGGAAUCACUGGGUGUAAAGGGAGCGUAGACGGCUGAGCAAGCCUGAAGUGAAAGGCGGGGGCCCAACCCCCGGACUGCUUUGGGAACUGUACGGCUGGAGGGCAGGAGAGGUAAGUGGAAUUCCUAGUGUAGCGGUGAAAUGCGUAGAUAUUAGGAGGAACACCAGUGGCGAAGGCGGCUUACUGGACUGUAACUGACGUUGAGGCUCGAAAGCGUGGGGAGCAAACAGGAUUAGAUACCCCUGUAGUC
rnacentral:rRNA from 1 species